GCUGCCACAGGUCCAUCGCUUGGCCUUUCUCACCCGUCUCACCAAACAGACCUUGCCCGGUGACCUGAGCGUUCCCCCAGAGCCCAGCACUGCACGGCACUGGGACAUCCGCCUUCCAUCCCUUUGUGGAAGAGAAAAUAAACUUUCUGUGUCCUCCCAGACCUCCCACGGACCCCUCAGACCCCCGGCUGCCUAUGACCCCCUCGCUCAGCUCAGCGCCCGCAGUGCUGGUGGGCGGCUGCAGCACUUCAACCUCCUCCAGCUGGAAAGUGUUGCCAGAGUGAAUCACUUUGCUUUCUUAUUACUGCAGUUAGAAGCAAGCCGAAACUUGCCAUUUGCAAGAGGCUUUGGCCAGAGAAGCAGUCAUCAGGAAGAAAAAAACUGCUCUUAUCAGCCUCAGGGAUCACUGUUGUUCUCAGGAUUGCAGGACAGAAAGAAGAUACUUAAGAUAAUAUAUCAAGAUUUUGAGCAGAGUGGUGUUCCGCGGUAUGUUCUCAAAGAGAUCUGUGCUUUACCAGCUCUCUUUCACCAUCGGGUGAGAAGAAAACAGAAAAGUUUCUGCAAAACAACUGUUGAGAAAGUCUGAGCUGGUGGAAGUUGGAAGAGUGGCCAGGAUGAGGAAGAAUAAGCUCUGGGCUCCCCAGGAACUGCUACCCCAGGGAGGCAGGGCUGCUUGGGUGAUCCUGGUAGGCUGUGUAAUCCCCAGAGCAGGUGUUCUGAUCUGCAUGUGAGCUGGAGCUCGGUGAUAGUGUGCCAAACCUUGCUGUAGUUUGGGGGUAGAGCUGAUCCCAGUGGAUUUACUUCUUUCCAUAGACGUGCUGUAUUGCUAUUCAAGCUCACUUAUAAAUCAAAAGUGUUGGACUGAAGCCUUUGUCCUAGGCAUACCUAUACUUAAAAUGACCACUAAUGCUGUCUGCUAUGACCAGUGAAACCAGCAUCUCUGACGUGGGUUACAGUUCACAGAAGAAAAGUCUUGCCCAAGAAUCCCAAAUAGAGCCAAUGACUGUUUGUCAUUUGACUGUUGAAAGCUACACAGCACAGAAACAACACAUUCUUCUUCUGCCCUUCAGUAAAGCGCAUAGAGUUGAAUGAAAUAUAAAUAUGGUAUUUAAUUAAUUUGUUUUAGUAUCUCACUACAAUUAGUACAAAACUGUGGGACAAGCCAAGAAAUAAAUAUUUU
rnacentral:lncRNA from 7 species